GCCGGGGUUGUCGAGUCCGGUAAGGCGCGGGCCUGGAGAGCCCGUGGGGCGUAAGUCCCGCGAGGGUUCAAAUCCCUCCCCCGGCGCCA
rnacentral:tRNA from 1 species